AUACGAAAGUCAAAUAAAUAUGAAACUACACAGUCCCAAAUAUCUGGUGUCAAGAGUCUAGAGCCUCUAAUACAUAACUGACUGUCUAAUACAUCAUAAAUCUAGAAAAUGCGGAAAAGAACAAGAUAGGAAGAAGAAAAUAGGGUUGUGGAUGUCAUGCAGCUACCUUGCAAUCUCCGACAAACUCUAGAUCAGCUGAGGACCCUCACUCUACCGCUCGGGCACCUGGAUCUACACACGAGGUGCAGGGAGUAACGUGAGUACGCCAACUCAGUAUGUAGCUAAAGUAAAUAAGGUUUGAAAGUAGUGACAAGCACUUAAGAAUCAUAUAAAUAAUACACAACAGGAUAACAGAUCAAACUUCAUAGUUUAAAAUUAGUUUCGUCGUAAUAUCAUCAAUUUCAGUUUAAAUACUUGAAAUCAUAUACUUAGCAAUUUUUUCAACAGAACCUUAUUUUAAAAGAAGAGUAAAAUCAGUAAAAGUAUCAUAACUGGGCCCCUCGGACAAGGUAUCACUCAGAAUAUGGCCUCUCGGGCAGCCUCUCAGUCAGUCUUGACUCAACUUUCGUCACUCAGUACUCACUCUCAGCACUUAGGCUCAUUAAUAUCUCAUAAUAAUAGAAAUCAUAGUAACCGCUGCGGCGUGCAGCCCGGUCCAUAGUUUAUAGUCGACUACGCUCACUGGGGGUGUACAGACUCCGGAAGGACUCCUACAGCCCAAGCGUCAUAUCGUUGUGGUGCGCAGCCCGAUCCAAUAUAUAUAUGUAUCACUGCGGCAUGCAAUAUGAUCCAUAUAAGUAUCGUAGUGGCAUGCUACCUGAUCCAUAACUCAUACAUAUAUAAAUACCCUUACCAUUAGGUUCUCAACCUCUCUCAGUCAUUAACCUCAUAGCCUCUCGGGCACAACAGUAGAAAUUAGGGAACUCAGUCUAAACAAUCCUCAUAUUUAGAAGUGGAGUGAUAAAACCAGCUUUAAAUAUUUAAACAGAUAAAACAUGACUGAGGAUAUGCUUUCAAUAAGUAGAGUGAGGAAAAACAGUAACAAUGCCCCUAAGGGUCUCAAUAGGUCGGCACAAGGCCCUAAACAUGGCAUACAACCCAUAAUACAGUAUAAAUGACUAAAGUAUGGAAUAAUAUCAGAUUCCAAAUCAAAUACACGGCUUAAUAGUCACUAUGGGACGGACCAAGUCACAAUCCCUUUCGGUGCACGCCCACAUGCUCGUCACCUAGCAUGUGCGUCACCGCAUUUGUCAAACAAGUCAAUACCGGGGUGUUGUACUCUUAGUUCUAGAUUUACAAUGGUUACUUACCUCAAACCGGUGAAAAUACUACUCCGCGACGCCUUUUCCCCUCGAAUCGGCCUCCACUCGCGUCGAAUCUAUCCAAAAUUAGAGUCACAACGUCAAAAUAUGCUAAGGGAACGAAGCCCAAGCAAAAACAAUCAAAUAAUACCAAAAAUCUCGAAAUUGGCCAAACCCGACCCCCGGGCUAAUGUCUCGAAAGUCGAUAAAAAUCACAUCAAUGGAAUCUUUAUCCUCCCACGAGUCCAUACAUACCAAGAACACUGAAAUCAGAGUCAAAUGACCCCUCAAAUUCUCAUUUUAAAGUCUCUUAAUAUCAAGCCUUAAUUCCUCAAUUUUAGGCUUAGAUUCCAUGAUUUAUUAGGUAGAUUUCACAUUAGAAUCGAGUUUUAAGUCCAAAUUCUUACCUCCAAGUUGUUCCCCAAAAUCGCGGACAAGACGACUAUUUAUACCUUCUGCCCAGGCCUGAAAUCCUUCUAUGCGAACGCGGUCAAAGCCUCGCGUUCGCGAAGCACAAAAUAAACUUGAACAAAAUUCCUCUUUCACGAUCACGGCCACCCCAACGGGAAAACGAUGCUUUACUCAGACAGACCUUCGCGAUCGCGUUUCCCCUAUCGCGAAUGUGAUGAAUUAAAUUCCCCUGAAGCUCAGCUGCCCAUUUCUUUUACGCGAAUGCGAGAACACCCCCGUGAACGCGAUGCACAGAUGCCCAGCCCUUUGCGAACGCGGAGCCUUCCUCGCGAAUGUGAAGGCUUAAAUUCCAACUUCCUCAACUGACCCUUCGCGAAUGCAAGGACCUCUCACGAAAGCGAAUUUCAUUUUUCUGCAGCACUGACCUGCAAUUUUCUGCGGUUCCAAACUUCAUGGAAUGGCCCGAUUGACCACCCGAAACUCACCCGAGGCACCCGAAACCUCAACCAAACGCACCAACAUAUCCCAAAAUCUUAUUCAAACUUAUACCGAUCUUCAAAACACCUCAAACAAUAUCAAAUUAACCAAAACACAUCGGAUUCAAGCCUAAAUUUCCAAAAUCUUCCGAAUUCCGCUUUUGAUCAAAAACCCAACCAAACCACGUUCGAAUGACUUGAAAUUUUGCGCACACAUCCCAAAUGACAAAAUGGAACUACGGCAACUCUUGGAAUCCAAUUCCGACCAUCAUAUCAAAAUCUCACCUACCAACCGAAAAUCGCCAAAAAUUCAAUUUCGCCAAUUCAAGCCUACAUCUACUCUGGAGCUCCAAAACUCAUUCUGAUCACGCUCCUAAGUCCCAAAUCACCUCCUGAAGCUAACUGAACCAUCGGAACUCACAUUCGAGCACUCUAACACAUAAGUCGACAUCCGGUUGACUUUUUCCAACUUAAGUUUCUCAAGAGAGACUAAGUGUCUCAAACCUUACCAAAUCCCUUCCGAACUCGAACCAAUCAACCCGAUCAUAUAUAGAAUCAUUAUACAAAGCAAUAAGAAGCAGAAAUGGGGAAAAUGGAGCACUAAUUCAUAAGACGAUUGGUCGGGUCGUCACACAUAUAUAUACAUAUAUAUAUACGCGUAUAUAAUGCCAUAACAUCAUCACGUCUCUGAGGGCAUCCCAUCAUAUCAUCUCGGCCAUUGUGGGCAAAUCAUCAACGCAUACCAGCUGAUCAGGUAGGGGUGCGUAUAUAACGCUGUAACCUUUUCCAAUAUCCCAUAUACAUAUAUAUACAUAUAUACGCGUAUAUAACGCCAUCUGGUCAUGGGUUAGUGUAAAUGAAUGUAAUGCAUGAAAUGCAUAAGAAAUACGUUAAUAAGAUUUUCUCAGAAUGCCAUAAAACUCAAUAUGCCUUUUGGAUAAACUUUAACAAACACAUAUUUUUUUGAGACCCAUGAACAUAUGAUAUAAUAAUAAUUUACAUGGGGAAUCAAGAAUAUAGACACCCCCAGUAUUUCUAUGAAUAGAGUGAUUUAUGGAAAUUGUGCAUUUGCUCGUGACGUAUAGAUCAUGCCAAAAGAAAGAAGGGAUAGUCUUAACAUACUUAGACAUGCUUGAAUAUCACUUUACAGGAAUGAAUAACAUAAACAUCCUUAACUGUUAAGGUUAGAACCACUUAUGAACUUAAACAAUCGUUUAGGCAUUUGUAAUUGAGAUUUCAUCAAGUUACUACAAUCUUAUUACUUUAGUAUGAUCGAUGAGGACCACUGUGUGUAUAUGAAGUGGUCUGAAACCGAUUACUUAUUGUCACAAACUAGAAGUGAGUGCCAUUGUAUUCUGCACCCACUGACUAAAGGCUCUUGAAUCUACCUCUGAUUUCCACCACAUAUACUAGCAAAAUUAACUCAACAGCUAGCGGGAACUCUAACAGUUAAUAAUGUACUAAACAUGAAAAUAUACAUUCUUGGAGUUUAUUCCUCUAAUCAAGAAAAGUCUUCCAUAUUCCUUCUAUUUUUCACAACAAAGAUCCAAAACUUAUCAAAUUUACAGUAAUAUUCACUACAAAAAGAAGAUACCAAGUUCUGAUCUUUUAAGCAUUAACUUCAACUCUACAACAUGAAUUAUUUUGACUCAUUAUAUGUACAUUAAUAAAGAGACGUAAUGUGAAAGAAGAUCAACCUGAAAGACAACACGGGUCGACCCGAAUUCUGGUUCAAAUGCAUAGGUACCGUUUGAAGCCAAGCAGAGAAGGGCUAUGUAGGUAAUGAAAAUCGAGACCCUUUUGUCUAUAAACAUGUUUCUCU
rnacentral:lncRNA from 1 species